GAGGGUAUAGCUCAAGUGGUAGAGUGUGUGCUUGGCAUGCAUGAGGUCCUGGGUUCAAUCCCCAGUACCUCCU
rnacentral:tRNA from 1 species